rnacentral:lncRNA from 1 species
UCGCACAGGAACGGGAACCACCAAUCCUGCUUCUUCACAUGAAUUUUACCCGCAUGACGACGGUUUUUAAUAUAAAAAAUAUUUACACAAUGUCUCAAAAAGCAAUCAAAGCUUUGAAAAAUAACCAAUGUUCGCAGAAGUUCAGUACCAACAAACUCACAAAAAAUGAGCCCAAAUUUAGCAUUACUUGCAAGCCAGACUAAGAAAUUUCAAGAAGAUAAUUUAAAAGAAGACAAUAGAAUAAACAGAUAAACAGAUGGAAACCAGGCAAUAGGUGUAGCAAAAUAGAAGAUGAAGGUCUAGCUGUGCCAGUGCU